rnacentral:lncRNA from 1 species
AUGUCUGAAGUCUUUUUUAGAGAGGCCCAUGUUCCUAAUGACAGUUUAGCAGAAAAUAUGAUGAAUGAAAAUUUAAAUAGUGAUUGAAAUGUCAGAGUUGAACAAGAAAGCAUGGAGAAUUCGUUGCAACAAUUAUCACAGCAAAAUGGAGAUGUUCAAGUGACAAAUGAUUCCUUAAUUAUGGAUGUGCAUAACAAGUAACUACCCAGAUGAAGAGAGGCAAGUUAACUACAAGCAAGAUGCGCCCAAUAAAGCCAAUGAAGCCUCAAAAUGAACCAAAUGAGGGAGCCGUUAGACCCAUUUGGAAGCCUUAAUUCCAUCUAAUAAUUUGAGUUUAGACAACCUCUAUACUUUGCUUGUGAUGUCUAUGGCUCCGGCAAAUGACCAAAUAUUUGAGUCCCAUUAUUGGUUUUUUGUGGUGUUUUGGGUACUUAUUUAUGGUCUAUUUUGAGAAUACUUGAUAAUGUGAGGUUGUAUUUUGAAGCAAUUAAUAUAAACAGUAUUGCACUUGGAUUUGCCAUUUUAUUUUGGAGUUUUGAGUUGAAAGAGUCAGUUGAUAAAGAAAAGACAUAAAAAUUGGCAUUUCAAUUUCAAAUAAGUUGGGUAUUGUAUUUCUAUUUAUCUCUUAUCAGUUAAUUUGGAGGGAGACACUACUAGCAAAACAACAACUACCCACAGACUUUAAACUGUGGGUAAUAAGACUUUCUCACACGGAUUUCAGUGUGUGAUAGCUUUUACUCACGGUAC